UCAAGCUUGCUACCUUGCUUGGUUUUUGCCAUAUUUUCUACUUCUUUAACAUCACGGUUGAUCAUGGAUUUUCAACAUCAAGGGAUUAAUUAAUAAAGUUUGAAAUGAGGUGUUUUAAUAAGAGCUUAAACUAAAUUGCAUUGUUUUUGAACUUAAGUGCAUCAUGAUUUCUUAACCUUCCUUAACGUUGUUUGUUCCCUUCUUAUGUUCACUCAUUGGGUUUAUACUCAUAUUUUUGAACUUCAUGUUUUAGGUUUUCUGAGUUAAAGGUGAUUGGAUCCUAGGACGAGGUGCUCCUCUCUAUCCAUUGCUCGGUAGGUUUAACAUGACACUAAAUGUUAGCAAUUGUGCCCAGAGUCACUCCGCUGACGGUCAAGGUCUAAUUAUGUGUAUAUGAGUACUUGAUGUGAAAUACUAAGAUUCAUUUAUCAAGCUAUAUAUGUAUAUAAUGGUUGAUGAUGCCAUUAUGAAUGCAUAAUUGGGUUUUAUGAAUUGUUUUCAAAGGAACUAUAUUU
rnacentral:lncRNA from 1 species